rnacentral:rRNA from 1 species
ACACUAUCAUUAACUGAAUCCAUAGGUUAAUGAGGCGAACCGGGGGAACUGAAACAUCUAAGUACCCCGAGGAAAAGAAAUCAACCGAGAUUCCCCCAGUAGCGGCGAGCGAACGGGGAGGAGCCCAGAGCCUGAAUCAGCAUGUGUGUUAGUGGAAGCGUCUGGAAAGGCGCGCGAUACAGGGUGACAGCCCCGUACACAAAAGCGCAUGUGCUGUGAGCUCGAUGAGUAGGGCGGGACACGUGGUAUCCUGUCUGAAUAUGGGGGGACCAUCCUCCAAGGCUAAAUACUCCUGACUGACCGAUAGUGAACCAGUACCGUGAGGGAAAGGCGAAAAGAACCCCGGCGAGGGGAGUGAAAAAGAACCUGAAACCGUGUACGUACAAGCAGUGGGAGCACCCUUUGGGUGUGACUGCGUACCUUUUGUAUAAUGGGUCAGCGACUUAUAUUCUGUAGCAAGGUUAACCGAAUAGGGGAGCCGGAGGGAAACCGAGUCUUAACCGGGCGUUAAGUUGCAGGGUAUAGACCCGAAACCCGGUGAUCUAGCCAUGGGCAGGUUGAAGGUUGGGUAACACUAACUGGAGGACCGAACCGACUAAUGUUGAAAAAUUAGCGGAUGACCUGUGGCUGGGGGUGAAAGGCCAAUCAAACCGGGAGAUAGCUGGUUCUCCCCGAAAGCUAUUUAGGUAGCGCCUCGUGAAUUCAUCUCCGGGGGUAGAGCACUGUUUCGGCUAGGGGGCCAUCCCGGCUUACCAACCCGAUGCAAACUGCGAAUACCGGAGAAUGUUAUCACGGGAGACACACGGCGGGUGCUAACGUCCGUCGUGAAGAGGGAAACAACCCAGACCGCCAGCUAAGGUCCCAAAGUCAUGGUUAAGUGGGAAACGAUGUGGGAAGGCCCAGACAGCCAGGAUGUUGGCUUAGAAGCAGCCAUCAUUUAAAGAAAGCGUAAUAGCUCACUGGUCGAGUCGGCCUGCGCGGAAGAUGUAACGGGGCUAAACCAUGCACCGAAGCUGCGGCAGCGACACUGUGUGUUGUUGGGUAGGGGAGCGUUCUGUAAGCCUGUGAAGGUGUGUCGUGAGGCAUGCUGGAGGUAUCAGAAGUGCGAAUGCUGACAUAAGUAACGAUAAAGCGGGUGAAAAGCCCGCUCGCCGGAAGACCAAGGGUUCCUGUCCAACGUUAAUCGGGGCAGGGUGAGUCGACCCCUAAGGCGAGGCCGAAAGGCGUAGUCGAUGGGAAACGGGUUAAUAUUCCCGUACUUGGUGUUACUGCGAAGGGGGGACGGAGAAGGCUAUGUUGGCCGGGCGACGGUUGUCCCGGUUUAAGCGUGUAGGUGUGUGUUCCAGGUAAAUCCGGUUCACUUUAACACUGAGGCGUGACGACGAGGCACUACGGUGCUGAAGCAACAAAUGCCCUGCUUCCAGGAAAAGCCUCUAAGCAUCAGGUAACAUCAAAUCGUACCCCAAACCGACACAGGUGGUCAGGUAGAGAAUACCAAGGCGCUUGAGAGAACUCGGGUGAAGGAACUAGGCAAAAUGGUGCCGUAACUUCGGGAGAAGGCACGCUGACACGUAGGUGAAGUGAUUUACUCAUGGAGCUGAAGUCAGUCGAAGAUACCAGCUGGCUGCAACUGUUUAUUAAAAACACAGCACUGUGCAAACACGAAAGUGGACGUAUACGGUGUGACGCCUGCCCGGUGCCGGAAGGUUAAUUGAUGGGGUCAGCGCAAGCGAAGCUCCUGAUCGAAGCCCCGGUAAACGGCGGCCGUAACUAUAACGGUCCUAAGGUAGCGAAAUUCCUUGUCGGGUAAGUUCCGACCUGCACGAAUGGCGUAAUGAUGGCCAGGCUGUCUCCACCCGAGACUCAGUGAAAUUGAACUCGCUGUGAAGAUGCAGUGUACCCGCGGCAAGACGGAAAGACCCCGUGAACCUUUACUAUAGCUUGACACUGAACAUUGAGCCUUGAUGUGUAGGAUAGGUGGGAGGCUUUGAAGUGUGGACGCCAGUCUGCAUGGAGCCGACCUUGAAAUACCACCCUUUAAUGUUUGAUGUUCUAACGUGGACCCGUUACCCGGGUUGCGGACAGUGUCUGGUGGGUAGUUUGACUGGGGCGGUCUCCUCCUAAAGAGUAACGGAGGAGCACGAAGGUUGGCUAAUCCUGGUCGGACAUCAGGAGGUUAGUGCAAUGGCAUAAGCCAGCUUGACUGCGAGCGUGACGGCGCGAGCAGGUGCGAAAGCAGGUCAUAGUGAUCCGGUGGUUCUGAAUGGAAGGGCCAUCGCUCAACGGAUAAAAGGUACUCCGGGGAUAACAGGCUGAUACCGCCCAAGAGUUCAUAUCGACGGCGGUGUUUGGCACCUCGAUGUCGGCUCAUCACAUCCUGGGGCUGAAGUAGGUCCCAAGGGUAUGGCUGUUCGCCAUUUAAAGUGGUACGCGAGCUGGGUUUAGAACGUCGUGAGACAGUUCGGUCCCUAUCUGCCGUGGGCGCUGGAGAACUGAGGGGGGCUGCUCCUAGUACGAGAGGACCGGAGUGGACGCAUCACUGGUGUUCGGGUUGUCAUGCCAAUGGCACUGCCCGGUAGCUAAAUGCGGAAGAGAUAAGUGCUGAAAGCAUCUAAGCACGAAACUUGCCCCGA